GAUGAACGCUGGCGGCGUGCUUAACACAUGCAAGUCGAACGAAGCACUUUAUUUGAUUUCCUUCGGGACUGAUUAUUUUGUGACUGAGUGGCGGACGGGUGAGUAACGCGUGGGUAACCUGCCUUGUACAGGGGGAUAACAGUUGGAAACGGCUGCUAAUACCGCAUAAGCGCCCAGCAUCGCAUGAUGCAGUGUGAAAAACUCCGGUGGUAUAAGAUGGACCCGCGUUGGAUUAGCUAGUUGGUGAGGUAACGGCCCACCAAGGCGACGAUCCAUAGCCGACCUGAGAGGGUGACCGGCCACAUUGGGACUGAGACACGGCACAAACUCCUACGGGAGGCAGCAGUGGGGAAUAUUGCACAAUGGGCGAAAGCCUGAUGCAGCGACGCCGCGUGAGCGAAGAAGUAUUUCGGUAUGUAAAGCUCUAUCAGCAGGGAAGAUAAUGACGGUACCUGACUAAGAAGCACCGGCUAAAUACGUG
rnacentral:rRNA from 1 species